CACCACAACGGGUGGAGCCGUGCGGUUUAAUUGGACUCAACGCCGGGCAGCUCACCGGAUAAGACAGCUGGAUGAUAGCCGGGCUGAAGACUCUGCUUGACUAGCUGAGAGGAGGUGCAUGGCCGUCGUCAGUUCGUACUGUGAAGCAUCCUGUUAAGUCAGGCAACGAGCGAGACCCACGCCAACAGUUGCCAGCAUGUCCUCCGGGAUGAUGGGGACACUGUUGGGACCGCCUCUGCUAAAGAGGAGGAAGGAAUGGGCAACGGUAGGUCAGCAUGCCCCGAAUUAUCCGGGCUACACGCGGGCUACAAUGGUCAGGACAAUGGGUAUCGACACCGAGAGGUGGAGGCAAUCUCCUAAACCUGUCCUUAGUUCGGAUUGUGGGCUGCAACUCGCCCACAUGAAGCUGGAAUCCGUAGUAAUCGCGUUUCAAAAUAGCGCGGUGAAUAUGUCCCUGCUCCUU
rnacentral:rRNA from 1 species